rnacentral:tRNA from 2 species
GGAGUAAUACCCAAGUGGUGAAGGGGCUUCCCUGCUAAGGAAGUAGAUCGGGCAACUGGUGCGAGGGUUCGACUCCCUCUUACUCCGCCA